rnacentral:rRNA from 1 species
UACGUAGGGGGCAAGCGUUGUCCGGAAUCAUUGGGCGUAAAGGGCGCGUAGGUGGCGUUCCAAGUCAACGGUGAAAGCUCGGGGCUCAACCCCGAGUCGGCCGUCGAUACUGGGAGGCUCGAGCACUGUAGAGGCAGAUGGAAUUCCGGGUGUAGCGGUGGAAUGCGUAGAGAUCCGGAAGAACACCGGUGGCGAAGGCGGUCUGCUGGGCAGUAGCUGACACUGAGGCGCGACAGCGUGGGGAGCAAACAGG